rnacentral:rRNA from 1 species
UGGGGGAUAUUGCACAAUGGGCGCAAGCCUGAUGCAGCGACGCCGCGUGGGGGAUGAAGGCCUUCGGGUUGUAAACUUCUUUUGCUCUGAACAAGGCGCACUUUGGGGUGUGUUGAGUGUAGGGGUUGAUUAGCGCCGGCUAACUACGUGCUAGCAGCCGCGGUAAUACGUAGGGCGCGAGCGUUGUCCGGAAUUAUUGGGCGUAAAGGGCUUGUAGGUGGCUGGUUGCGUCUGUCGUGAAAGCUCAUGGCUUAACUGUGGGUUUGCGGUGGGUACGGGCUGGCUUGAGUGCAGUAGGGGAGGCUGGAAUUCCUGGUGUAGCGGUGGAAUGCGCAGAUAUCAGGAGGAAUACCGGUGGCGAAGGCGGGUCUCUGGGCUGUUACUGACACUGAGGAGCGAAAGCAUGGGGAGCGAACAGG